rnacentral:lncRNA from 1 species
UGGGAACUGAACAAUGAGAACAUAUGGACACAGGAAGGGGAAGAGCACACUCUGGGGACUGUUGUGGGGUGCGGGGAGGGGGGAGGGAUAGCACUGGGAGAUAUACCUAAUGCUAAAUGACGAGUUAAUGGCUGCAGCACACCAGCAUGGCACAUGUAUGCAUAUGUAACUAACCUGCACAUCGUGCACAUGUACCCUAAAACUUAAAGCAUAAUAAUAAUAAAAUAAAAAAAAGAAAGAAAGCUGAAUAUUGUUGAAGAUUGUGUCAAGGAACCUCUGUAAUAGGAUAUAGAACGCCUCCUCUUUUCACAUGAACUGCUAAUACUAUAUGUGAAGAAUGACGAUUUUUAGGCAGAGGGGUGAAACAUAUCCCUUUAGUCAAGCUAUGCAAACACAGCAGCUGCUCACAUAAAUUCCUUGAGUUUUAUGCCGUUGUCUUUUCUCAGACAGAGCCCUCAUUGAGUUUGGGAGAAUUUGGGUUGGCUGGGUAAUAACCGCAUGAGCUAUGUAGCUACUCUUUCAUUCUGACCUCACCUUGGGAUAGACACAGAACCCAAUGUAUCAAAUCGCCUGGUGUACAGAUCUCUUGUCCAAGUGAGGUGCAGCUGAACUUUAUAUUUCUGUGCAUUUGACUUGCAGGCUGCGUCUUAUUCACCAAGACAGAAGUUUAUACUUGGGCCUUCUCAUGGGUGAGGUCACUUUGCUGUUAUUAGCCAAACGCCGCUCUUCUCCAAAUGUCUGAUGUUUUCUUGGCUGUAGUGUUCAGUUCCCAGAGCAAGAUGUUUUAGACUAAGAAGUACUGCUUGUGCAAUGACGCAAAGCCUAUUCUGGAAAUUUGCUCCAAUGGUUGUGUUUUCUUGUUGGUUUUGAGCAACGGUAUUUGUAUUUUUGUUGAUAUUUCCCUUGUGAAGGAGCAAUGGGUUUGUUAGAUUUUGCGUGGUCUGAUUGUACAACGUCAGGGAUGCAGCUGAGGCUUUGUCUCUAGCAAAUGUUAGGCGAGCCAAAUUCGGACUGUUUAGAGUCUACAUUGGCAUUAACUGGCUGGCAACUUGAAAUGAGACAAAAAUGAAUGAUUUGCACAAUGCCUGUCCUCGCUAGCUCAGUAUUUCUUAAAAAUUUCUUUUCAUUGUCACUCCCCCAAGGAGCUUUUUGAACAUUUUUUUCCUGAAUGUCUCCUCCCACCAUGAAAUUUUAAUACUCCAGAUACACCGUAUAUCUAUUUAUAUAAUAUUAUCUGUAUCUGUGUUUUAUAUAUAAAAGAAUAGAAUUCUAGCUACCCCUGAACCAAUUUUGCCCUUUUACUAAUGAUCCUCACCAAUUGACUGAAACACAUCUCAUGCCUGAAAAAAACACAAUUUACUAUGGGGUAAUUCAUUGGCAAUUACAAUUUAUAGCUGGAGAAACUGAGUCAUGAAUGAUUUUCUAAGAACUUGAUAUAAUAUUUAUAACAGCAUUCAUUACUCUACAAACAUUUAUAAAAGAACACAGAAGAAUAACUUUUUGAAUACAUUACAGUUACUUUUCGGAGGAAAUGCAGUAAAAAUCUUUAUAAUUAUAAGCUUUUUGUCCAUGUUGUUAGCGCUUCUCAUGUUGUGUGCUAAAGUUGGUUGAGAUCUGUAAAAGCACAGGACAAAUAUUUCCUGCACAUGCCCUUUUUCAUUCCUAUGCUCUAAUCCCUGAUGAAAGCCCCAAUCACUUCACGUCUGACUGUUUUCCCUACCUCUGGACUCACAUUCACAAAUGCAAAUUGCCCUCAAGGGCCAGGGAGGCCACAGAAAUUAACGAAGGGGGCCCGAAGUAAGAAAACGACACUCUCCCAACACAGGCAGGGAUGACUGGCAGCUGACACAUGGCCUUUGUGUUAGGAAGACAAGAGGGGGUGCAUGGGACUUGGGAAAUGGAAAAUAUGUAGUCCAUCUGAAGGUGGCAGCUGCUACUCAAUUCUUGUAGCUUUAUUGUCACAGGGAAAUGGCAGCCCAACAUUGUCUGAUCAUUUUACUGUUUUAGAGAGAAACCAGAAAUCUAACAUUUUAUGGGAUUAUUAAAUAUUGACCAAUAGUCUUUGUGCCAAAUAAAACGGGUCUGUGAGCUGGGCUGGGCCACUGAACACUAAGCUUUGAGCACAGUUCCAGAGACUUCCUUCUCUUUCCAACCCAAUCUAUCUUAAACACUAUUUUAAACAAUUUCACCCUCUCAAAGUGUAAUUCACAUCAUGUUCCUCUCCUGCUUAAAAGUUUUCAAUAGCUUCCCACUGCCUACCAAGUCAAUUCUAAACUCGUGAGCCAGGCAUUUUAAAGCCAUCUGCCACUUUAUGUAAUAUCUUCCCUUCACUUAUGUGAACAUCAACUUUUUCUCCUUUCCUUGACUUACUUUGUAAUUUUCUGCCUCACUCCUUUGACUAAGGUGGCUUCUUCUGCCUGAAACCUUCAUGUUUAAAUCUUACCAAUCUUUCAAAGUCGAACUUUAGAUGUCUCCUUUCCAAGAAUCCUUCUUUGCUAUAUCUGAUAAGAGGUUAUUCUUUCUCUGAACUUCAAUAACGUAUUAUUUUUGAUAAAGUGUUUGGAACACUCUGCUCAGAGCAAGUGCGAUAGGACGAGUUGGCUCGGAAGGAGUGGCUCAUCACCCUCAUUUGCCCUUCACUUCCCAUCUCUGGCUCUGUCCUGUGUCAUAGGGGAAUAGCAUAUUCAUUUAAUUUUUUCUCUGGCAUUUUUCACUUUUCAUUGUGUAAUACAGAGUCCUCUAUCCCUUACUAGGUAAUAUUUUCAAACAGGGAUUCUUUCUUUCUUUCUUUCUUUCUUUCUUUUCUUUCUUUCUUUCUUUCUUUCUUUCUUUCUUUCUUUCUUUCUUUCUUUCUUCUUUCUUUCUUUCUCUUCUUUCUUUCUUUCUCUUCUUUCUUUCUUUCUUUCUUUCUUUUUCUUUCUUUCCUUCCUUCCUUCUUUCUUUUUUCUUUCUUUCUUUCCUUUCUUUUCUUUCCUUCCUUCCUUCUUUCCUCCCUUCCUUCUUUCCUUUCUUUCUUUUCUUUCCUUCUUUCCUUUCUUUCCUUGCUUUUCUUUUCUUUCUUUCUUCCUUCCUUCCUUCUUUCUUUCCCUUCCUUCCAUCCUUCCUUCCUCCCUUCCUCCUUUCCUUUCUUUCUUUUCUUUCCUUCUUUCUUUCCUUGCUUUUCUUUUUCUUUCUUCCUUCCUUCCCUCUUUCUUUCUUUCCCUUCCUUCCUUCUGUCCUUCCAUCCUUCCUUCCUCCUUUCCUUUCUUUCCUUCUUUCCUUUCUUUCUCUUUCUUUCUUUCUCUCUCUCUCUCUCUUCCUUCCCUCCCUCCCUCCCUCCCUCCCUCCCUCCUUCCUUCCUUCCUUCCUUCCUUCCUCAGGGUCUUGCUCUGUCACCCAGGCUGGGGUGCCAUGGGCCAAUCAUGGCUCACUGCAGCCUUGACCUCCCAGGCUCAAGCGAUCCUCCUACCUCAGCCUUCCAAGUAGCUGGGACUACAGGCUUAAGCCACCAGGCCUGGCUAAUUAAAAAAAAUUUUUUUUUUCCAGGGAUGGAUGUCUCCCUGUGUUGCUCAGGAUGGUCUCAAACUCCUGAGCUCAAGUGAUCUUCCCCCCUGAGCCUCCCAAAGUGCUGGGAUUACAGACAUGAACCAUUGUGCCCCACCAGGGAUCAUUUUCUUGUAUAACCUUGAUUCCCCACAGUGGCAAGUACUUAAAUAUUUGUAAAAUGAGCAUUUGCAACUCUAUUGAUUGCUUCAUUCACCAGAUCAUUCCUUCCCACAUGCCCCCAAAAUUCCAAAUCUAUGGAUGUGUUACUUGAAGAGAACCAAAUUGAGAGAAGGCAAACAUACUUCAGGAAGGGUAAUGUGUAAGGAACCAUCAGGAUUCUCAUGCAUUUGCGUGAUUUGUCUACCCUCUUUGGCCCAAAUAUUGAGCCUUUUAAACAUUUAAAAAUAUUGACCAAUGAAGAUUUAAUAUGUUCAAUUGACCCUCGUUUUAACAUGCUGUUCAACAUCUGCCAAUUUCUAAAAACUGGUCUGACAUUCUAGAAGGAAAAAAAGAAUGAGCAAUUCCUAGGUUAACUAACAUAUAUAAAGGAAUUUGAUAUCUCUUUUGCCUUACUGGGCUCCUGGGUACAGGCCAGUAUACUUGGAAGUGGCCACAAGAGGGGAGUAUGAACCACAGUCAUCCUUAAAUGAAUGAGACCAAGGAUUCAUUCUUUCUCCAGCAGAAUGAAGAAAGCUCCAUCCUGAACAAUAGUCAAUUGAAUUAUCAUUCCCUUUCCAGCUGACGAUCAAAGACUGAAUGUGGAUCUGCCCUUUCUGUGUUCACAGAGACGGUAACUUUCACCUCUCAGCUGUCCAAUCAGACCAUAAUCCUGACUGGAAGAAAUACUUGCAGAGCAGGGCCUGAAGGAUGUGCAGUCCCUCUUGCUCAAUUUCUCUCACAUUGUUUUACCUUUGCAUGAAACCAGAGCCCUGAGAGAACUGUGUUCCUGGAUCAUGUUGCUUUGGGUCCUGUAGAAUUAUUUCUACUGAAUUGUGAUUUGGCCUCCCUCAAAAUCUUUGUACUGAGGGAAGCUUUAAGAAGCAGCUGUUUAAAAUGUGUUAUUAGGCCAGGCGUGGUGGCUCACGCCUAUGAUCCCAGCACUUUGGAAGGCCGAGGAGGGUGGAUCACCUGAGGUCAGGAGUUCGAGACCUGCCUGGCCAACACGAUGAAACCCUGUCUCUACUAAAAAUAAAAAAAUUUGCUGGGUGUGGUGGCAGGCGCCUGUAAUCCCAGCUACUCAGGAGGCUGAGGCAGGAGAAUCACUUGAACCUGGGGGAUGGAGGUUGCAGUGAGCCGAGAUCACACCACUGCACUCCAGCCUGGGUAACAGAGUGAGACUCCGUCUCAAAAAAAAAAAAAAAAAAAAAAAAGAGUGAAACUCUGUCUCAAAAAAUAAAAAUAAAAAAAUAUAAAAAAUAAAAUGUAUUAUUACAUCAACAAAAAGAUGUCUACAAAUUCAUACAAUGUUCUGUUUUUAAGGACCCAUGGGAGAAAUUUUGCUUAAAACUCAGAAUGCAGGAAAAGCUGUUUGUCUUGAUAUAUUGACUUUCUAAAUAUUUUAACUUAUUAUGCCUUUCUCUUUUCUUUGACUGCUGGGAGGCUUCAUUUAUUCAACCAGUAUGUACGGAGUGCCCGUAUGUGCCAGCUGGCUGCUGGAGAUAUGAUGGGGAGCAAAAGGAGAAGGAAUCCUGUCCUCAUGAAGCUUCCAGUUUAGAGGAAGUAACAGAUAUUUAUUUAUUACUCAGAUAAAUGCACAAACUGAAAAGUGCUGUGAAGGGAAGGGCCCUUGCUAUGAGAACAUAACAAGACAGGACUUCAUUUGAAGAAGUCCCCUUCAGGCCUGAGGCGGUGUGAGUUUCCUAAGGGAAAGGAGGUGGGGUGCUGGCAUUCCUGACCUGAAGACGAACCACCUACUGGGGAGAAGACCUGCAUUCUGGCAACUGGAAGAAUUCCAGGGAGCUAAAGUGCACUUUAUGUGGAUGGGGAAGGUGUGGAGCAAGGUUUGAGUGGGGAGUGAAGUUUUGGUGCCCUGUAUAGGCGUUUCUGCUUGCUAAUCUUUUUUUUUUUUUUUUUUUUUUAACUUUUAUUUUAAGUUCAGAGGUCCGUGUGCAGGUUUGUUAUAUAGGUAAACUUGUGUCAUGGGGGUUUGGUGUACAGAUUAUUUUGUCACCCAGAUGCUAAGCCUACUACCCAGUAGUUAUUUUUCCAGAUCCUCUCCCUCCUCCCACCCUCCACUCUCAAGUAGGUCCCAGUGUCUGUUGUUCCCCGCUUUGUGUCCAUGAGUUCUCAUCUUUUAGCUCCCGCUUAUUUUUAUUUUUUAUUUUUUUGAAACAGAGUCUCCCUCUGUCGCCCAGGCUUUUGUUUUACCUUAUAUCCCUUGAUAUGUUAUCUUUUCAUAAGAAACAUAUUUUGUAGAAUAAGAUGGAAUAAAUAAAAAGUUAUUCAAAAUUGCAUUAUAAGCAGACUCCAUCUUGAAUUAAAUAAAAACAGAUUUCACACCAUGCCACCCCUGCCAAGACUCCCUCACGCCCAUGGGUUCUCACUCUUGGACACAAGGUGUACUGUCCCACCUUGUGGGCGAGCCUGUGGACUUGAGAACAUAGACUGGCUUUGCUCUGCUGGCAUCUGAAGGCUCAAGGUAUUUUUCCUUCACAGCACAUCAGGAUCCAGAGUUAUAAAGUACUCGCUCCUAGAUGGAUUUAUUGACAAUUUAGAAAUUAUAGUCCUGCCUUCUGGUCCUAUAAAAGGUUACAUCCAGUUCCCUCUGAAAAACACUCCAGGAAUAAACAGGCCACGUGAAUAAGGCAGUAUUUUAUAGUUGCUUUUCUGAUCAGAAACCUUCAUUCUGCUGGCUUUGCUGAGGAUUAGAAUGUGUUGGUAAAAUGUUGCUGGAGGAAACCUCUGCGGUUAGGCGUUCUUGCCUUCAUCUGUCAUCUCUGUUCUCAGUGUUGAUUUGAACCAAGGCCUUAAUGGGGACAAAAUAGAACAUAUCAAUGCCUCUUACAUUUCCUAGGUGAGGAAAAAGCCUAUUUCUGAGCCCUUACUCAUUGUAAUAACACAUUUCAUUUAACAGAAGGGGUGCGGUGGAAAGGAAGAAAGAAGAAAAUGAAUUGUGAUACCAGUGAGGUGGUUAGAAAUAGGGUUGCCCAUCAUUCUGCCUCAGCCAGACAGAGGUCUUUGCUGAGCUCCAAAAUGCACCAGACAUAUUGCUGCCACAGGACUUUUGCACUGGCUGCCCAUCAACCUGGAAUGCUCUUCCUCUGUAUAACCACAAGCUUGACUUGUUCACCUCCUUCUAGUUUUUGAUUGAAUAUAUUAUCACCUUGAUCAUCCUAUUUAAAACUGAUGACCCUCUUGAACUCCUGAUUCCCUUUACCACGUCUCAGGGGUUGGCAAAUUAUGACCUCUAACCACCUGUUUUUGUAAAUAAAGUUUUAUUGGAACAUAGCCAAACUCAUUUGUUGUUGUUGUUCUUGUAUUUUACACCUUGAAUAUGACUGCUUUUGUCCAACAAUGGCAGAGUUGAGAGACAACGUGGCCCACGAAGUCUAAACAAUUUACUACCUGGCCCUUUUCAGAAAAUUUGCCAACACUGCCCUGUUUCAUUUUCUUCUGUUUCAUUUCUAACCUUCUAACGGUAUACACAUAUCUAUAUAUCUAUAUCCAUCCAAACCUAUCUACAUAUCUAUAUCUUAUUUUUAUUUUAUUCUAUUUUUUGAGAUGGAGGCUUGCUCUGUUGCCCAGGCUGGAGUGCAGUGGCACGAUCUCAGCUCACUACAACCUCCGCCUCCUGGGUUCAAGUGAUUCUCCUGCCUCAGCCUCCUGAGUAGCUGGGAUUACAGGCAUGUGCCACCAAGCUAAUUUUUGUAUUUUUAGUAGAGAUGGGCUUUCACCAUGUUGGCCAGGUUGGUCUCGAACUUCUGACCUCAGGUGAUCUGCCCACCUUGGCCUCCCAAAGUGCUGGGAUUACAGGCGUGAACCACCGCGCCCAGUCCAUCUUUUUUUUUUUUUUAGUUUUGAGAUGGAGUCUCCCUCCUCUGUCGCCUAGGCUGGAGUGCAGUGGCAUGAUCUUGGCUCACUGCAACCUCCGCCUCCUGGGUUCAAGUGAUUCUUCUGCCUCAGCCUCCCUGAGAAGCUGAGACUACAGGCAUGGCCACCAAGCCCAGCUAUUUUUUUUUUUGUAUUUUUAGUAGAGACGAAGUUUCACCAUGUUGGCCAGGCUUGUCUCGAACUCUUGACCUUAGGAUAUUCGCCUGCCUCAGCCUCCCAAAGUGCUGGGAUUACAGGUAUGAACCACUGCAUCCGGCCUGCCCAUCUUAUUUUUAAAAAUCUCCACAAGGGCAGAGAUUUUUAAUUUAUUUUGUUAGUUCACCAAUAUAUUUAAAUAUCUAGAACAUUGCUCGGUAGAUUUUGAAUAAUGAUUUGUUGGAUGAACAAAUGAAUAAGUGAAUAUAAAGUGUCCCACAAAGAUUAGACAGUUAGUUUGAUAAUUAUUAUUAUUUCAAUAUAACUGCAACUUACGAAAAGGGGAAGAUAUCCAUUACACCAGUGUAUAUUCUCAACCUAACACGUAGAAAGUUGUGACUAUUACAAGCUCCUCUCAGCUGCUGCAAGAAGCAUGCUGUCACAGGCUUGUCUCUGAGCCUUAUAUACCUGCUUACUUCUGCUAGGACACCUACACAAUCCUCAAAUAAAC